rnacentral:rRNA from 1 species
UGCUUAUAGGAAUAAUUAUAGGUAAGGCCUGCUCAAUGAUUUACAUUAAAUAGCUGCAGGAGACUGUACUAAGGUAGCAUAAUCAUUAGUUUUUUAAUUAAGAACUGGAAUGAAGGGUUUAAUGAUUGGAUUAUUUUUUUCUGGGAUAAGAUUGAAUUUUAGCAGAUAGUUAAAAAGCUAUUAAGAUUUUUAGGGACGAGAAGACCCUAUAAAGCUUGAUUUUUCUUCAUAAUUUGAUCUUAUGCCAGGAAAGUUUUAUUGGGGUAAUAGAUUAAGAAUAAGGAUUUUAUUUAGUGAUCCAAAAUUUUUGAGUAUUAGAAUAAGUUACUUUAGGGAUAACAGCAUAAUAAAGUUAAUGGAGUACUUAUUUGUUAGUUUGUUUGUGACCUCGAUGUUGGAUUAAUAUACUCUGAGGGUGAAGAAGCUCUUUAGAAUAGUCUGUUCGACUAUUAAAAUAUUACA